CUACGGGUUGCAGCAGUGGGGAAUAUUGGACAAUGGGGGCAACCCUGAUCCAGCCAUGCCGCGUGUGUGAAGAAGGCCUUUUGGUUGUAAAGCACUUUAAGCAGGGAGGAGAGGCUAAUGGUUAAUACCCAUUAGAUUAGACGUUACCUGCAGAAUAAGCACCGGCUAACUCUGUGCCAGCAGCCGCGGUAAUACAGAGGGUGCGAGCGUUAAUCGGAAUUACUGGGCGUAAAGCGAGUGUAGGUGGCUCAUUAAGUCACAUGUGAAAUCCCCGGGCUUAACCUGGGAACUGCAUGUGAUACUGGUGGUGCUAGAAGAUGUGAGAGGGAAGUAGAAUUCCAGGUGUAGCGGUGAAAUGCGUAGAGAUCUGGAGGAAUACCGAUGGCGAAGGCAGCUUCCUGGCAUAAUAUUGACACUGAGAUUCGAAAGCGUGGGUAGCAAACAGGAUUAGAUACCCGCGUAGUC
rnacentral:rRNA from 1 species